GGCCUAUUUUGGGCCGCUGCGCGCCGCCAGCGGAAGCUUCGAUGCUCCACCGCGCGCUGCUGGUGGAAGGCCCCUGCUCCACCGUGAACCUCCCGUCGUCCGCCGCUGGAAAACUCAACCUCCACCUGUCGCCGUCAGAAUCCUCCAUGCUCCACCGCUCACCUCCCCCUAAUCCUUCCGCGCGGUACGUGGCCGAGGCUCGACAGACGCACGCUAGCUGCGCCGGCGCUGGAUGCGUGCUUCUCGAGCGCCCUAUGUGGCAUACUACAGUUCAGAUACUUCUAGAGAGGAUUUGAGGACCAGAUCAACUGCUAUGGAUGGAGCAGAACCCGGUGAGGGGCUGAGGGCCUCCAGACUCGGUGCUCGGCCGAGUAUGAAGAACCGCGGAUUGCAGCCUGCCAGCCUCUGCUUGACUGGCUGCCUCUUCUCACCACCAGAUACGGAAAUCCAUCAAAAGAAACAAGAGAUUGCGAUUUUCCAAUUGUUUCCCGUACAAAAACGCAAGUUUUAACACACAGGUUGUGGGCUUGAAGCCAAGAACCAUUUUGUGGGCAUGAAUUAACACAGGAGAAACAAAAAAACAAUCAGUCCAGUCAAAGAAUGUCAAUCGCCAGAACCGAGACUGAGCAAAGGAAGCAUUUGGCCACACAGCUAUACCAUCUCCCUACCGUGGGCAUGGAAAUGUAGUUUCCCAAAGCAGACACGUACAUACUGGUAUUGCAAGUUUAGCUUUAGUACUGAUUCAGUGUUCACUUUGUCUGGUACAUAAUUUGUGCUGCUCUCUUCUCAGAUCUGAGCUUAGAUAUGCUGCGACCUAGAAACGAUGAUUGUAUGUUGCUUCAGCCGUGAGUAAUUGGAAAAUGCUAGAUUCAGUGGGUUUUCUUUAA